rnacentral:rRNA from 1 species
UACGUAGGGGGCAAGCGUUGUCCGGAUUUAUUGGGCGUAAAGAGCGUGUAGGCGGUUUGGUAGGUCCGCUGUGAAAACUCGAGGCUCAACCUCGAGACGCCGGUGGAAACCAUCAGGCUAGAGUUCGGAAGAGGAGAGUGGAAUUCCUGGUGUAGCGGUGAAAUGCGCAGAUAUCAGGAAGAACACCCGUGGCGAAGGCGGCUCUCUGGGACGGUACUGACGCUGAGACGCGAAAGCGUGGGGAGCGAACAGG